rnacentral:misc_RNA from 1 species
UUCCAUAGGGAUUUAGAAAUGCAGAAAAGGCAGAUCAUGGAGAGAGCACAAGCUGAAAUAGCUAAAAUUCAGCAAGGUGAUGAUGACAAUAAUGACAUCUCUGCUGAUAAUGCCAGUGGAUAAUAUGCUUCUAGAUCUUAUUUGCAUCUGUAACAUUAAUUAGCAUAUUAGCUAGUUGUUGUAUAAUGUUGGGGCCUUCUUUUACUCUUCCAAGGCAAUUGAAUUGUUGGCGAUAUUGUAUUGGCUAUACCAGAAGAAAUAACGUAAUGCUUGAGGAUUUAUUCAUUCAACUUUGCUCCUAGGUAGAUGUAUCCAGCUCUAUUUGGGCAACAGUUAAGAUUUCUUAUCGAAUGCAAUUGCCGGCAACUGAGCUGCAGCCUGUGAUGGGAGAUCUCUUGAGUUUCUGUGCCAUGAUUGGAAAUUUCACAUUAAGAUAUUCCUUCUGGU